rnacentral:rRNA from 11 species
GAUCUCAGCUCAAGCAAGAAGACCCGCUGAAUUUAAGCAUAUAAUUAAGCGGAGGAAAAGAAACUAACCAGGAUUCCCUCAGUAAGGGCGACUGAAGCGGGAGUAGCUCAAGAUGUGAAUCUGCGCCGUUCUGCGGCGCCGAAUUGUGGUCUAUAGGCGUGUGCGUUACCUGGCCGGGCCAAGUCCCUUGGAACAGGGCGGCUGAGAGGGUGAGACCCCCGUUCGCCUGGCCUUUGGAGCGCGCGUCGACGAGUCGAGUUGUUUGGGAUUGCAGCUCAAAGUGGGUGGUAAAUUCCAUCUAAAGCUAAAUACUGGUGGGAGACCGAUAGCGUACAAGUACCGUGAGGGAAAGAUGCAACAGAACUUUGAAAAGAGAGUUAAAGAGUACCUGAAAUUGCUGAAAAGGAAGCGAAGGAAACCAGUGUUAGCUGCGUCAUACUUCCCCGUUCGCUUGCGGUCGGGGCGCUGUGGCCAGCGUUGUCAGGCUUGGCUGGGUUGGGCGGAAAUGCGCGUAGGGAGAUUAGACCUGCGUGUGUCUGCGUUCGACUUGCCUGAGGUUGACGAAAUGGUUUUCUUUUUCCCGUCUUGAAACACGGACCAAGGAGUUUAACAUAUGUGCGAGUACAGGGGUGGCAAACCCCGGUGCGCAAUGAAAGUGACAGUGGCUGGACGCCAGCAAUGGCUGCACAGUCCGCCGGCCUCAAUCCUUCGGGAGAACGGUCUGAGUGUGAGCAUACAUGUUGAGACCCGAAAGAUGGUGAACUAUGCCUGAAUAGGGUGAAGCCAGGGGAAACUCUGGUGGAGGCUCGUAGCGAUUCUGACGUGCAAAUCGAUCGUCA